rnacentral:rRNA from 1 species
GACGACGCUGGCGGCGUGCCUAAUACAUGCAAGUAGGACGAGUUGCGAACGGGAGAGUGAUGUCUGGGAGACUGCCUGAUGGAGGGGGAUUACUACUGGAAACGGUAGCUAAUACCGCAUACCAUCGGAUGUGCCCAGAUGGGUUUGGGUAGUAGGUGGGGUAAAGGCUCACCUAGGCGACGAUCCCUAGCUGGUCUGAGAGGAUGACCAGCCACACGGGAACUGAGACACGGUCCAGACUCCUACGGGAGGCAGCGGUGGGGAAUAUUGCACAAUGGGCGCAAGCCUGAUACAGCCAUGCCGCGUGUAUGAAGAAGGCCUUCGGGUUGUAAAGUACUUUCAGCGGGGAGGCGUUACCCGCAGAAGAAGCACCGGCUAACUCCGUGCCAGCAGCCGCGGUAAUUC